AUGCAGGCGGCGACGGUAGAUCUGGCAGUAGGAGCUGCUGCUCUUCCAUUUGGCCACCAUCUGGUCGUCCUUGACUCAGCCAUGCCCCACCCUUCGCCGUCCUCGUCUCCGAUGCCGGUUAUGGACGCACAGAUGCGGCUAGUAGUUCAGACAGGAGCACUGAUAGCUGUGAUUCAGGCAUGCGUCAUGUUCAUGCACAAGAGAGUUGUUCGUCGUGAUGAGAGACCUAUCAUCAGAUAUGCUCCAAUGCUUAUGCGGGAGCAGGAGAGGAUCACCAAUCUGAACUACAUAUACAACUACAACAACACAAAGGCUCUAUGGAUACAUAGAAUGAAAAGAGCACCAUUUGCGAGACUUGUCCAGACCUUCAGGGGUAGGGGGCUGCUAGAAGAUAGCGUCCACACUAGUGUGGAAGAGCAAGUCGCCAUGUUCCUUCAUGUUGUUGGCCAUAACCAGAGGUUCAGGGUUAUCCACAACAUGUUCAGGGGAUCAAUGGCGACCAUCUCAAGGUACUUCAAGCAAGUGUUGUAUGCUGUUGGGGAGCUCAGAGGAGAGAUGACCAAGUCAUCAACUGGACGGACUCCUACCAAGAUUCACACUAGCCCAAGAUGGUAUCCAUACUUCAAGGUGAGCACUGCAGUAUGUAGUUCAUUGCUUGAUAUGCUUGGAUUGUUCAAGGUGAGCACUAACACAAUCUUGUAUUGCCAUUUCAGGACUGCAUUGGGGCAAUAG
rnacentral:rRNA from 1 species